AGGCCUUGCGCUCAUUGAGCGGCCGAUAUCAGAUUAGCUAGUUGGUGGGGUAAAAGCUCACCAAGGCGACGAUCUGUAGCGGGUCUGAGAGGAUGAUCCGCCACACUGGAACUGAGACACGGUCCAGACUCCUACGGGAGGCAGCAGUGGGGAAUUUUGGACAAUGGGGGCAACCCUGAUCCAGCCAUGCCGCGUGAGUGAAGAAGGCCUUCGGGUUGUAAAGCUCUUUCAGCCGGGAAGAAAACGCAUUGGUUAAUACCUGAUGUGGAUGACGGUACCGGAAUAAGAAGCACCGGCUAACUACGUGCCAGCAGCCGCGGUAAUACGUAGGGUGCGAGCGUUAAUCGGAAUUACUGGGCGUAAAGCGUGCGCAGGCGGUUUUGUAAGAUAGGCGUGAAAUCCCCGGGCUUAACCUGGGAACUGCGUUUAUGACUGCAAAGCUAGAGUACGGCAGAGGGGGGUGGAAUUCCACGUGUAGCAGUGAAAUGCGUAGAGAUGUGGAGGAACACCAAUGGCGAAGGCAGCCCCCUGGGUCGAUACUGACGCUCAUGCACGAAAGCGUGGGUAGCAAACAGGAUUAGAUACCCUGGUAGUCCACGCCCUAAACGAUGUCAACUAGGUGUUGGGAGGGUAAAACCUUUUAGUACCGGAGCUAACGCGUGAAGUUGACCGCCUGGGGAGUACGGCCGCAAGGUUAAAACUCAAAGGAAUUGACGGGGACCCGCACAAGCGGUGGAUGAUGUGGAUUAAUUCGAUGCAACGCGAAAAACCUUACCUACCCUUGACAUGUCAGGAACUUGCCAGAGAUGGCUUGGUGCUCGAAAGAGAACCUGAACACAGGUGCUGCAUGGCUGUCGUCAGCUCGUGUCGUGAGAUGUUGGGUUAAGUCCCGCAACGAGCGCAACCCUUGUCGUUAAUUGCCAUCAUUUAGUUGGGCACUUUAACGAGACUGCCGGUGACAAACCGGAGGAAGGUGGGGAUGACGUCAAGUCCUCAUGGCCCUUAUGGGUAGGGCUUCACACGUCAUACAAUGGUCGGUACAAAGGGUCGCCAACCCGCGAGGGGGAGCCAAUCCCAGAAAGCCGAUCGUAGUCCGGAUUGCAGGCUGCAACUCGCCUGCAUGAAGUCGGAAUCGCUAGUAAUCGUGGAUCAGCAUGUCACGGUGAAUACGUUCCCGGGUCUUGUACACACCGCCCGUCACACCAUGGGAGCGGG
rnacentral:rRNA from 1 species